rnacentral:rRNA from 1 species
ACGGGUGAGUAAUGCCUAGGAAAUUGCCUUGAUGUGGGGGAUAACCAUUGGAAACGAUGGCUAAUACCGCAUAAUGCCUACGGGCCAAAGAGGGGGACCUUCGGNCCUCUCGCGUCNAGAUAUGCCUAGGUGGGAUUAGCUAGUUGGUGAGGUAAUGGCUCACCNNGGCGACGAUCCCUAGCUGGUCUGAGAGGAUGAUCAGCCACACUGGAACUGAGACACGGUCCAGACUCCUACGGGAGGCAGCAGUGGGGAAUAUUGCACAAUGGGCGAAAGCCUGAUGCAGCCAUGCCGCGUGUAUGAAGAAGGCCUUCGGGUUGUAAAGUACUUUCAGUUGUGAGGAAGGGUGUGUAGUUAAUANCUGCNNAUCUUGACGUUAGCAACAGAAGAAGCACCGGCUAACUCCGUGCCAGCAGCCGCGGUAAUACGGAGGGUGCGAGCGUUAAUCGGAAUUACUGGGCGUAAAGCGCAUGCAGGUGGUUCAUUAAGUCAGAUGUGAAAGCCCGGGGCUCAACCUCGGAACUGCAUUUGNNNUGGUGAACUAGAGUGCUGUAGAGGGGGGUAGAAUUUCAGGUGUAGCGGUGAAAUGCGUAGAGAUCUGAAGGAAUACCAGUGNCGAAGGCGGCCCCCUGNNCAGACACUGACACUCAGAUGCGAAAGCGUGGGGAGCAAACAGGAUUAGAUACCCUG